UAUGGCCAUAUCAUGUUGAAACACAAAUUCUUUAUGAUCAUUGAUGUUAAGCAACAUUGAACUUGGUCAGUACUUAGAUGGGUGACCACUUGGGAAUACCAGGUGCUGUAA